GACGAACGCUGGCGGCGUGCUUAACACAUGCAAGUCGAACGAUGAAACCUAGCUUGCUAGGUCGAUUAGUGGCGAACGGGUGAGUAACACGUGACUAACCUGCCCCUUUCUCUGGGAUAACGCUCGGAAAGGAGUGCUAAUACCGGAUACUCACACCGAGGCACAUGCCUUGGUGUGGAAAGUUUUUCGGAAAGGGAUGGAGUCGCGGCCUAUCAGCGUGCUGGUGAGGUAACGGCUCACCAAGGCGACGACGGGUAGCCGGCCUGAGAGGGCGACCGGCCACACUGGGACUGAGACACGGCCCAGACUCCUACGGGAGGCAGCAGUGGGGAAUAUUGCACAAUGGGCGCAAGCCUGAUGCAGCGACGCCGCGUGAGGGAUGAAGGUCUUCGGAUUGUAAACCUCUUUCAGUAGGGACGAAGCGAAAGUGACGGUACCUAAAGAAGAAGCACCGGCUAACUACGUGCCAGCCGCCGCCGUAA
rnacentral:rRNA from 1 species